rnacentral:lncRNA from 1 species
CUUUGCCUAGCAACAGACGGAAAGAAGAAAUACAAGUUGAAUAGGAAAGGUAAUCUAGUUUGGAUUUCGAAAAAUUGACCAGAUUUGCCAGGGUAAUGGAUUAGAUUGUGAUGAAGUCGAUCGGAAGGUUAGUCGAAUGUUUUACUUCUUGUUGUCUUUAAUUUUCUGAUUCAGUAUUCCGUAUCACUCUUAAUUGUAUUCUACAUACUUUCUUACAGUAAGUAGCCUUUGAUUAAAUAAGAUAGCUGUUCCAUUUCACCCCAUUUACAUUAGUAGUAGAUUAUAGUUAUGUUGCUACUUUUGAGUUCAUGUAGACAAUAGUUCAAGCCCAUUACUCCAAUCCUUUACAGUAAUAACAUCGCGUGAUCAAUUAAAUUAUACUGUUCAGAAAUCAAAACCAAUAAUAACUAGCAUUCAUUAUUAAUUAAUUACAACGAAGCCUGCCCCUUCCUUCACAUCAACUGGAUUUCUGUAACAUCCAAAGUCAACAAAGUUGGAAACAAAUUGUAAACUUGUUUAAACAUACUUACGGCUUCGUGUUGUACAUUUUCGUUAAUCGCAAUUUGUCAUGUUUGUCACUUUGUGUAACCUUAUUUUAUAAUUCUGUGGUGUUACCCGUUGGGUCUCGUCACCCGUGUCAUGCUUUAAUGACUUAAUUAAAAUCUCAUCUUUACUUUUGGCCGCUUAAUUUUCGGCAAUGGUGUUUUAGCCAUGAUUUUACGGCGCGGAAAUGCUGUCGGUGCUCCCGGAGGAUCGCCUCGUGUUUCGACUAACUAAUGACUGUAAAUGAAACUGAUUAUAUGGAUGAAGUUGUUGAACCGAACGGUUCUAUUCCACUGCUAUUGAAUGAGUUUUUUUGGCCAUUUGGUCCGUCACGACCAAUCCUAGGAAACUGGAAGCCUUGACAUAUAGCUGUCUAAAAAGUGAAUAUAAUAAAACCAGAGAGGGUUAUUUACUGAUAUUAUUGAUCUGUGAAAUAGUCAAAAUUAAUUGGCAAGACAAAGACUUCAAAAGUAAUUGUGUUGCGGCCACGGUCGAUUGAAAUUUCCGCAUUUGACGACAAACCGAACGUCUUCAAUUGCGUUAUUUAAACACUUAUUGAGCUGUCUAUAUCUAGGUCACCUGGGGUGAUUCAUAUGCACGCUAUGGUAACUUGCAUGUAUAAUUUAGCCUGCAGUCUGCAAAUGGUAGAUAAUCUUUUUUCACAUGUGUCAGCGUUAAGCUCCUUUGUGUAAUUGGAUUUCUUUAGGUUAUUGCUCCGUAAGCCGGUUGAAUAGGAGAAGCUUAUUCAAAAGGAGGAUUUAUUGUAAAAUAGUAAAGUGUGCGUGUACAUUUGCUUCACGUUUUCUGUUCAAAUGUUACGCUGCGUUAGAUCAAAUGUUUGAACUCAUUUGCGUUGUACACUGUUCACAGUGUUCACUGCCAUAGCAACAAGCAAUUACGUAAAUGAUUCUCGUUUUUUUAUUCGUCGACCAUAUCGCUUCGUUCAUUUUCACUCGUCGUGUUUGUGUUUUUAUUUUGAAUAUUCGUUUUUUCAUAAUGACCACCAUCUUCAGUGACUGUAACAAUGUAUGCAAUUAUUGCUAUCAGUGUAUAUUAUUACGGCAAUUAAUUUAACUGUUGGCAGUUUCUGUUUUAUUUAUGUGACGUGCAUGGCAUAAUUCCUACUUACAGUGUGUAGAGUUUAGUUACAAAAAUUAUAAUUGCAUCCUUUGCUCCGCCUUAGGCAUGUCCACCUGCGUAAUUUAGUAUCUAAAUAAAUUAUUAACGCGUUUUGGUUCGGAAUUGCACAAGUCUUAUUCGUUAAUAUAUAAAAUGUUGAUUAGAAACUAAAAGCGUGAUAAAUAUUUCUUUUUUACAGUUGCGAAACCAUUUCAGUGACUGCCAUUUCUAUGCGAAAUGGUCUGGCAUCUAUUUUUGGAAGCGAAUAAAAUGUUAUCGUCAAUUAAGUUGGUUCCCAAAGGCGGCAAGAAAUCCUGCGCGGAAGCCAUGGGCGACCGAGCUAGCCUGCCCUUGAUGCUGCGAUGACGCGAUGUGGCCACUAACCACGCCCUCAAAACUACUCGUUGAAACCACCACUAUCAGUAAUAGUUUUUGUUUUUGAAGUUGACUAUUCCAUUUUAGUAUUGCCGUGGCAUACAUAAAAUAAACCUCUGAAUCGGCCUCCUAGAUAAUGUAUAUUUCAAUUCUCAAUGCUAAACCAAAAUUAUCGUUCCACAUGAACAGUACUCGACUGCACAAUUUGCAAUAAACCUAAAAAUUUCUGGCAACACUUUGCUUUACGUUCAAUCGUCGCAACAUGACGUUCUCCUUUGUCCUUUGCAAUACAUAUAAUCGAUUCAAUUUUAGGUUCGAAAAUAAUCGAUAAUCAAAAAAUCAUUAUCACUGUACCUAUUUCGCAAUGUUAUGCUGGUAUUUCUUUGUCACAAACAGAGCGAUCCUCCCAAGGUCUGGUCAGUAAAUCUGUCUGGUUAAUAGUUGCAUAGUCACACGGUGCGCGAACAGUAGCCAUGAAAAAUGCAGGUUGAUUUAAUAUUUUAGACGCGUACAAUAAAAUGUUUUGUUUUGCAAUCGCCGCGCGCUUGUAAGUUAACCCGUCACUCACUAUUACGCCUAGCGUUAUCUUAGUGUUGUAAUCUGAUAUUACGUGAUUUUAGCGGCAGUCUUGUCGUUUUUUUAGCAGUCACUAUGAGAACUGACGAAUGCUGAUCCUUGUUACUGCGCUGGCAUACAAAUUCGCGUCUCCGAGAUUUUCUCUCGCGUGAAAUUUGCUAAUACUGAGCAUCUAUUCUCGCUUCUAUAGUCUCAGGAGUUUCGCCGAUCCAUAAAAGGCAUUGCGAUGUUGAAAUCUGAGCUACUUAUUUUUUAUGCCUUAACCAUCGUAGUUUAAUCUUUUGAUUACCAUAACUCGUUCCAGGAAAAUUUCGCUUUGAAACACGGCGAACAGAUUAAUUGCCUAUCUCUGAAUUUUUGCUCAAAGGCGACCCUAAAGUGGGACUCCAUAAACUUCACAAAUUGAGUUAUAUUUCUCAUUUUUCGUAUUUCUAUCCAUCCGAGUUCGUAUUACUCAUUUCCGUUCCUAAGUCAUUCCUGAGAUAUCCAUUUACGUCGAUGUAUCUCCGAGGAGUAUCGGUCAGCGACCAGUCAAGCCUCACAUCUCAUUUGAACGAUCACGAGGUUGAAAGUUGAAACCACUUGCCGCGUCGACUCGCUAUCUAAAUUUGAAUAAUAUUCAUGGAAGUUUAAAUUGGAGUUCUGAAUGAAUUUCAUAUUUUUCUUUUUAAUAAUUAAGUCCGGCCAUUUGUAUUUCUGUAGCUUUGAGCUUUUGUACAUCGUGUUUCAGUCCCUUGGAUAAUAUAGCUUACAUUUUAUGCUUAGCUCACCGCAUACGAAGUGCUUAAACAGAUGAACAGAAAUUGUAAGUUGCGGUUAGUCCGCCGGCCGUUGGACAUAAUGCCGCUCUUCUUUCGAGGGUUUCAUAAUGGUGUAAAUGAAUUGAGGUCUCAAUUGUCAAACGUAAAAAAUCUCGGUGCAUUCGCACAGCGGCAUUGAGCGGGACAUUGCAUUUUGCCCUUGCUUCAUUUACUCCGUCUGCAUUAAUAUAGUAAUACUUUGCAAUUAACUGCACCUGGUUCACGUGACCUUUGCCUUCAGUCACGAUAUUCGCAUUUUCUUCUUAAAAAUAUUUUAUUGCGGCCAACUGAUCCGUAAAUGUAUUUUUUAAGAGGGCUAUCACAAAUUUUCGAGUUUUAUACGAGUUUUGAUGCGUCAUUAUGCUUUGGAUAUAGUCAUAAAAAAAAAAAACAAAAAUAAGAUUAAGAAAGUUUGAUCAUUUAUCUUGGGGCUGUUUUCAAUAAAUAUUUUAAUUUGUCCACGUACAUCAGUAAAAUCUUUGUCUCUGCAAAGGAUGUUUCAUAAAAUGUUGCUUUUGGGGAUCUUUUGAUGCUUCAGUACUCCGAGGAUAUAGCAAUUUAACCAUUUAUAAAAAUGUUCAAGAUACAACUGUAUCUUGUACUUGUGCUUGCUUACACCAAUUUAUUACAAUUCAUACAGUAAUACACCAAAAAUAAUUCUAUAAAACUGAGAGUUACUGACAAUUUUCCGUACAAAACUAUAUUUUUUAUCUAUGAAAGUAUAAUCCAAAUUCAAAUAAAAAAUAUUUAAUAAUUAAGGUGGUAUUGUUAUAAAGCUUGAAAAAAAAAAUGGCCUAUUUAAAAGUAAAACAAUAUUUUAAAAUAAUUUUUGUUUGCAAUGCAAAGAAUCAAUAUAAAUCUUGUGACGCGCGGUGUUCAACUUUAGUCAGCGCCAAGCGCUUACCGAGGAGGGACGUAUCGCUCGCUGUUGCGCCGCGUAAACUCGCCGGAGUUCGAAAAAUAUAGCGCAACCUACGCAUCUAACACGUUUUGAUACUAGAAAAUGAAGAUACAAUACAUGGAAGACGAAUUAUAGAUUUUAGUUUUUUUAUAAAUCAAUUACUUAUACCUAAUUGAUAAACAUGGUGAAAAGUUUGGUUGUCGAUUAAAUAAUUUAAAAAUUGUAAACGAUUAUUUGUUUAUUGUAACUCAAUCGAGCUAUUCUAGGUUAUAAAAUUCAUCAGUACAAAUAAUAUUUCAUAAACUAUAAAACCAAUAAACUAUUUUGGAAAAAAAGUGGCAAAGUCUCAAGUUUGUUUGUGCCGCGUAGCGGUCCGCAGGUGUGCGUUGCGUAUUUCACUAGACGCACACGCGCGCAAGUGCUGCCGGCUAUCGUCUAAUUUACCUAAACCUGAGCGAUUCGAUUUUGUAAUAGCGCUCUUAAGAAU